rnacentral:rRNA from 1 species
UACGGAGGAUGCAAGCGUUAUCCGGAAUGAUUGGGCGUAAAGGGUCCGCAGGUGGCAAUGUGUGUCUGCUGUCAAAGAAUGAGGCUUAACCUCAUCAAGGCAGUGGAAACUACAUAGCUAGAGUACGGUCGGGGUAGAAGGAAUUCCUAGUGUAGCGGUGAAAUGCGUAGAGAUCAGGAAGAACACCGGUGGCGAAAGCGUUCUGCUAGACCUGUACUGACACUGAGGGACGAAAGCUAGGGGAGCGAAUGGG